rnacentral:sRNA from 12 species
AGACUUGGUCGUAGAGCCACGACCAACUUAAUCAAAAAAACGCUCACUGAGA